rnacentral:rRNA from 1 species
ACGUACGCUGGCGGCACGCCUAACACAUGCAAGUCGAACGAAGUAGCAAUACUUAGUGGCAGACGGGUGAGUAACAUGUAGGUAUCUGCCCUUUGGCCUGGAAUAACACGAGGAAACUUGUGCUAAUACCGGAUAAGUCUUUACAGAGAAAGCUUUAUGCACCAUUGGAUGAGCCUGCACUUGAUUAGUUUGUUGGUGGGGUAAUGGCCUACCAAGACUGUGAUCAAUAGCUGAUUUGAGAGGAUGAUCAGCCACAUUGGGACUGAGACACGGCCCAAACUCCUACGGGAGGCAGCAGUGGGGAAUCUUGCACAAUGGAGGAAACUCUGAUGCAGCGAUGCCGCGUGAGUGAAGAAGGCCCUUGGGUUGUAAAGCUCUUUCGUCGGGGAAGAAAAUGACUGUACCCGAAUAAGAAGGUCCGGCUAACUUCGUGCCAGCAGCCGCGGUAAUACGAAGGGACCUAGCGUAGUUCGGAAUUACUGGGCUUAAAGAGUUCGUAGGUGGUUGAAAAAGUUGGUGGUGAAAUCCCAGAGCUUAACUCUGGAACUGCCAUCAAAACUUUUCAGCUAGAGUAUGAUAGAGGAAAGCAGAAUUUCUAGUGUAGAGGUGAAAUUCGUAGAUAUUAGAAAGAAUACCAAUUGCGAAAGGCAGCUUUCUGGAUCAUUACUGACACUGAGGAACGAAAGCAUGGGUAGCGAAGAGGAUUAGAUACCCUCGUAGUCCAUGCCGUAAACGAUGUGUGUUAGACGUUGGAAAUUUAUUUUCAGUGUCGCAGCGAAAGCGAUAAACACACCGCCUGGGGAGUACGACCGCAAGGUUAAAACUCAAAUGAAUUGACGGGGACCCGCACAAGUAGUGGAGCAUGUGGUUUAAUUCGAAGAUACGCGCAGAACCUUACCAACACUUGACAUGUUCGUCGCGACUCUAAGAGAUUAGAGUUUUCGGUUCGGCCGGACGAAACACAGGUGCUGCAUGGCUGUCGUCAGCUCGUGUCGUGAGAUGUUGGGUUAAGUCCCGCAACGAGCGCAACCCUCACUUUUAGUUGCCAUCAUUAAGUUGGGCACUCUGAAAGAACUGCCAGUGAUAAGCUGGAGGAAGGUGGGGAUGACGUCAAGUCCUCAUGGCCCUUACGUGUUGGGCUACACACGUGCUACAAUGGUAUCUACAACAGGAAGCAAGACUGCGAAGUUAAGCAAAUCCCUAAAAGAUACCUCAGUUCGGAUUGCACUCUGCAACUCGAGUGCAUGAAGCUGGAAUUACUAGUAAUCGUGGAUCAGCGUGCCACGGUGAAUGCGUUCCCGGGUCUUGUACACACCGCC